rnacentral:rRNA from 1 species
AACGAACGUUGGCGGCGUGGAUUAGGCAUGCAAGUCGUACGCGAAAGAGGGGGCAACUCCUCGAGUAAAGUGGCGAACGGGUGAGUAACGCGUAGGAAACCUGCCUUCGAGAUGGGGAUAACACUCCUAACGGGGUGCUAAUACCGAAUGACACUGCGGGAUCGCAUGGUUCUGCAGUCAAAGGUGGCCUCUGCUUGCAAGCUACCACUCAAAGAUGGUCCUGUGUCCCAUUAGCUAGUUGGCGGGUAACGGCCCACAAGGCGACGAUGGGUAGCCGAUCUGAGAGGAUGACCGGCCACACUGGGACUGAGAUACGGCCCAGACUCCUACGGAGGCAGCAGUCGAGAGGCUUCGGCAAUGGGGAAACCCUGACCGAGCGACGCCGCGUGGAGGAUGAAGGCC